UGGGCGUUUAAAGAACCCUCGGAGCGCAGUUACCGCGCGCCUAGGAUCCCUCAGGAUGCCCAAGUGAAGAGUGACCACCCCAGGCCUGCCACUGACCUUCCCACUUUCCCGUGUCAUGGACACAUAAACUUAGCACUUCCUCCCUGAGCCCCGCACCUCCAGCACCUGCAGAAUGGGCUUAAAAACUACUUGGUGUGUGAUGGAAAAAAGGAAGGAUUCGUAGAAAUAAAUAAACCAAACUAAGGAAAGUGCUUUGAACCUAAGAAGAGAAGCAACUUUGAGAUACAGGUCUUGCUAUGUUGCCCACGCUGGUCUCAGAUUCAUGAACUCAGCAAGCCUCCUGCCUCAAGUUCCUGAUUGCUGGGACCAUGGGCUUGUGCUACCCCUGGACUACCUAUGUUUAUGACA